rnacentral:rRNA from 1 species
UGCAUGUCUCAGUACAAGCCAAAUUAAGGUGAAACCGCGAAAGGCUCAUUAANNNNUAAUAUGGUUCCUUAGAUCGUACCCACAUUUACUUGGAUAACUGUGGUAAUUCUAGAGCUAAUACAUGCAAACAGAGCUCCAACCGGAAACGGAAGGAGCGCUUUUAUUAGAUCAAAACCAAUCGGUGGCGGUUCUCCGUCAUCGUACAACUUGGUGACUCUGAAUAACUUUACGCUGAUCGCACGGUCUCGCACCGGCGACGCAUCUUUCAAAUGUCUGCCUUAUCAACUGUCGAUGGUAGGUUCUGCGCCUACCAUGGUUGUAACGGGUAACGGGGAAUCAGGGUUCGAUUCCGGAGAGGGAGCCUGAGAAACGGCUACCACAUCCAAGGAAGGCAGCAGGCGCGCAAAUUACCCACUCCCGGCACGGGGAGGUAGUGACGAAAAAUAACGAUACGGGACUCAUCCGAGGCCCCGUAAUCGGAAUGAGUACACUCUAAACCCUUUAACGAGGAUCAAUUGGAGGGCAAGUCUGGUGCCAGCAGCCGCGGUAAUUCCAGCUCCAAUAGCGUAUAUUAAAGUUGUUGCGGUUAAAAAGCUCGUAGUCGAAUCUGUGUCCCGCGCCGCCGGUUCAUCGUUCGCGGUGUUAACUGGCGUGCCGCGGGACGUCCUGCCGGUGGGCUUAGCUCGAGAGGGCGGCCCAACUCAAUCCCGCCGCGGUGCUCUUCAUUGAGUGUCGAGGUGGGCCGGCACGUUUACUUUGAACAAAUUAGAGUGCUUAAAGCAGGCUAAAACUUCGCCUGAAUACUGUGUGCAUGGAAUAAUGGAAUAGGACCUCGGUUCUAUUUUGUUGGUUUUCGGAACCCCGAGGUAAUGAUUAAUAGGAACGGAUGGGGGCAUUCGUAUUGCGACGU